GACGAACGCUGGCGGCGUGCUUAACAAAUGCAAGUCGAACGGAAAGGCCCUGCUUUUGUGGGGUGCUCGAGUGGCGAACGGGUGAGUAACACGUGAGUAACCUGCCCUUGACUUUGGGAUAACUUCAGGAAACUGGGGCUAAUACCGGAUAGGAGCUCCUGCUGCAUGGUGGGGGUUGGAAAGUUUCGGCGGUUGGGGAUGGACUCGCGGCUUAUCAGCUUGUUGGUGGGGUAGUGGCUUACCAAGGCUUUGACGGUUCGCCGGCCUGAGAGGGUGACCGGCCACAUUGGGACUGAGAUACGGCCCAGACUCCUACGGGAGGCAGCAGUGGGGAAUAUUGCACAAUGGGCGGAAGCCUGAUGCAGCAACGCCGCGUGCGGGAGUACGGCCUUCGGGUUGUAAACCGCUUUCGCCUGUGACGAAGCGUGAGUGACGGUAAUGGGUAAAGAAGCACCGGCUAACUACGUG
rnacentral:rRNA from 1 species